rnacentral:rRNA from 5 species
GGGUUGUGAGGUUAAGCGACUAAGCGUACACGGUGGAUGCCCUGGCAGUCAGAGGCGAUGAAGGGCGUGCUAAUCUGCGAUAAGCGCCGGUAAGGUGAUAUGAACCGUUAUAACCGGCGAUACCCGAAUGGGGAAACCCAGUGUGACUCGUCACACUAUCAUUAACUGAAUCCAUAGGUUAAUGAGGCGAACCGGGGGAACUGAAACAUCUAAGUACCCCGAGGAAAAGAAAUCAACCGAGAUUCCCCCAGUAGCGGCGAGCGAACGGGGAGGAGCCCAGAGCCUGAAUCAGCAUGUGUGUUAGUGGAAGCGUCUGGAAAGGCGCGCGAUACAGGGUGACAGCCCCGUACACAAAAGCGCAUGUGCUGUGAGCUCGAUGAGUAGGGCGGGACACGUGGUAUCCUGUCUGAAUAUGGGGGGACCAUCCUCCAAGGCUAAAUACUCCUGACUGACCGAUAGUGAACCAGUACCGUGAGGGAAAGGCGAAAAGAACCCCGGCGAGGGGAGUGAAAAAGAACCUGAAACCGUGUACGUACAAGCAGUGGGAGCACCCUUUGGGUGUGACUGCGUACCUUUUGUAUAAUGGGUCAGCGACUUAUAUUCUGUAGCAAGGUUAACCGAAUAGGGGAGCCGGAGGGAAACCGAGUCUUAACCGGGCGUUAAGUUGCAGGGUAUAGACCCGAAACCCGGUGAUCUAGCCAUGGGCAGGUUGAAGGUUGGGUAACACUAACUGGAGGACCGAACCGACUAAUGUUGAAAAAUUAGCGGAUGACCUGUGGCUGGGGGUGAAAGGCCAAUCAAACCGGGAGAUAGCUGGUUCUCCCCGAAAGCUAUUUAGGUAGCGCCUCGUGAAUUCAUCUCCGGGGGUAGAGCACUGUUUCGGCUAGGGGGCCAUCCCGGCUUACCAACCCGAUGCAAACUGCGAAUACCGGAGAAUGUUAUCACGGGAGACACACGGCGGGUGCUAACGUCCGUCGUGAAGAGGGAAACAACCCAGACCGCCAGCUAAGGUCCCAAAGUCAUGGUUAAGUGGGAAACGAUGUGGGAAGGCCCAGACAGCCAGGAUGUUGGCUUAGAAGCAGCCAUCAUUUAAAGAAAGCGUAAUAGCUCACUGGUCGAGUCGGCCUGCGCGGAAGAUGUAACGGGGCUAAACCAUGCACCGAAGCUGCGGCAGCGACACUGUGUGUUGUUGGGUAGGGGAGCGUUCUGUAAGCCUGUGAAGGUGUGUCGUGAGGCAUGCUGGAGGUAUCAGAAGUGCGAAUGCUGACAUAAGUAACGAUAAAGCGGGUGAAAAGCCCGCUCGCCGGAAGACCAAGGGUUCCUGUCCAACGUUAAUCGGGGCAGGGUGAGUCGACCCCUAAGGCGAGGCCGAAAGGCGUAGUCGAUGGGAAACGGGUUAAUAUUCCCGUACUUGGUGUUACUGCGAAGGGGGGACGGAGAAGGCUAUGUUGGCCGGGCGACGGUUGUCCCGGUUUAAGCGUGUAGGUGUGUGUUCCAGGUAAAUCCGGUUCACUUUAACACUGAGGCGUGACGACGAGGCACUACGGUGCUGAAGCAACAAAUGCCCUGCUUCCAGGAAAAGCCUCUAAGCAUCAGGUAACAUCAAAUCGUACCCCAAACCGACACAGGUGGUCAGGUAGAGAAUACCAAGGCGCUUGAGAGAACUCGGGUGAAGGAACUAGGCAAAAUGGUGCCGUAACUUCGGGAGAAGGCACGCUGACACGUAGGUGAAGUGAUUUACUCAUGGAGCUGAAGUCAGUCGAAGAUACCAGCUGGCUGCAACUGUUUAUUAAAAACACAGCACUGUGCAAACACGAAAGUGGACGUAUACGGUGUGACGCCUGCCCGGUGCCGGAAGGUUAAUUGAUGGGGUCAGCGCAAGCGAAGCUCCUGAUCGAAGCCCCGGUAAACGGCGGCCGUAACUAUAACGGUCCUAAGGUAGCGAAAUUCCUUGUCGGGUAAGUUCCGACCUGCACGAAUGGCGUAAUGAUGGCCAGGCUGUCUCCACCCGAGACUCAGUGAAAUUGAACUCGCUGUGAAGAUGCAGUGUACCCGCGGCAAGACGGAAAGACCCCGUGAACCUUUACUAUAGCUUGACACUGAACAUUGAGCCUUGAUGUGUAGGAUAGGUGGGAGGCUUUGAAGUGUGGACGCCAGUCUGCAUGGAGCCGACCUUGAAAUACCACCCUUUAAUGUUUGAUGUUCUAACGUGGACCCGUUACCCGGGUUGCGGACAGUGUCUGGUGGGUAGUUUGACUGGGGCGGUCUCCUCCUAAAGAGUAACGGAGGAGCACGAAGGUUGGCUAAUCCUGGUCGGACAUCAGGAGGUUAGUGCAAUGGCAUAAGCCAGCUUGACUGCGAGCGUGACGGCGCGAGCAGGUGCGAAAGCAGGUCAUAGUGAUCCGGUGGUUCUGAAUGGAAGGGCCAUCGCUCAACGGAUAAAAGGUACUCCGGGGAUAACAGGCUGAUACCGCCCAAGAGUUCAUAUCGACGGCGGUGUUUGGCACCUCGAUGUCGGCUCAUCACAUCCUGGGGCUGAAGUAGGUCCCAAGGGUAUGGCUGUUCGCCAUUUAAAGUGGUACGCGAGCUGGGUUUAGAACGUCGUGAGACAGUUCGGUCCCUAUCUGCCGUGGGCGCUGGAGAACUGAGGGGGGCUGCUCCUAGUACGAGAGGACCGGAGUGGACGCAUCACUGGUGUUCGGGUUGUCAUGCCAAUGGCACUGCCCGGUAGCUAAAUGCGGAAGAGAUAAGUGCUGAAAGCAUCUAAGCACGAAACUUGCCCCGAGAUGAGUUCUCCCUGAGACUUAAAGUCUCCUGAAGGAACGUUGAAGACGACGACGUUGAUAGGCCGGGUGUGUAAGCGCAGCGAUGCGUUGAGCUAACCGGUACUAAUGAACCGUGAGGCUUAACCUUACAACGCCGAAG